rnacentral:lncRNA from 1 species
AGGUAUUGCGGCACUCCCCUCCCCCUGCGGAGAAGGGUGCGGCCUUCUCUCCGCCUCCUCCACUGCAGCUCCCUCAGGAUUGCAGCUCGCGCGGGUUUUUGGAGAACAUGCGCCUCCCACCCACAAGCCAGCAGGACCGACCCCCCACUCCUUCCUCCACCCCCCACCCCCACGGGUCCGAGAGCAGGUAGAGCUAGUCUCGUCCUUCAGGCGGCGGACGCCCAGGGCGGAGCCGCAGUCACCACCACCCAGAAGCCUCGGCCCGGCAGCCCGCCCCCGCCUCCUGCGCGCGCUUCCUGCCACGUUGCGCAGGGGCGAGGGGCCAGACACUGCGGCGCUGGCCUCGGGGAGGGCCGUACCAAAGACCGCCUCCCUGCCGACUCGCGUAGUGGUUUCGCUCAUUUGGGACCCAAGCCAAUAACAAGGGGCCGUUCCCAGGACUUCUGCAGCCAAUCAGAUACCAAAGCCGAGCAGGCGGCGGGUAAACCGACUCCCCCGGAGGGGAGGCCGACAGCGCCCGCCUGUGCAGCUCUCUCCACCCCACCUACCUACCCACCCAGGGGGCAAUGCGAGAGUUCCUGGGAGGCUGCGCACUCCCGAGGCUGUAACUGACAGGAGCUUUACUCCAACCAAAACACGCCAUUUGUGUUUUCACACACGGCGGGAGGAGAAGCGGCCAAUCAGUGACAAGAGAAGAGCAGGAAGCGCUCCUCCCUCUGCGGGAGCAAUGGCUCCGUCCGUAUUCCAGGCUUUUCCGCUCCCUUCUCCCUCCCCCUCCGGUUGCCGCAGGGCGGGCCGCACUCCCGCCUGCCUCUCACCACCUCUUCCCCUUCCAGCGUAACAAACGAUAUGCUCCCGACUUCCCGCUAGGGAAGGCGACCCCCGCUACCGGUCAGACCACCUCAAGCACCCAUCCCCCGCCAAACCGCCGGCCCUCCCCCAAACCAGAGUCCCGCUCCCCUACCUAGCCGAGGCUCUCUGAGGAGCCGGAGCCCCAGAGCACAGCCUCUUCUCUAGGCGGCCCCGGCGGCUUCCGCUGAUUGGCGGGGAGCUGGCCAAUGGGU